AUAUUUUAAAAAAUCAAAAUUAAUCCCACAAAUCCAUAGUGAAGAAAAUAUCAGAAUUUUAAAUAAAGACAGGAUCAGUGUCAUUGGUCUUUCAUUUUGCCUCAGGCUCCAAUAUGACUUGGCAGGGCAUUGCAAAACAGAGUAAGAUUUCUAAGUUGUAAGAAGCAGAGACAUAUUUGGUGUUCACAAAUAGCAUCAAAGACCUGACUGCACUUGAGUGGCAACCUAUUAAGAACUCUGAAUUGAAAGCUAGGGAACUCAGGUUCAAGUUCCAGCUCUGCCAUACUAAGGUAUGUAACACUGAGCAAAUUACCUGGCCUUUCUAAUUUUAGGUUCUGGCAUAAAUAAAUGGAAAGAUCUAUACCAGAUGAUUAUUAAGAUCUUUCUUAGCUCUAAAGUUAUAUGAUUCCUUUGUAAAAUGGAUUUCUUUUGAUGUCUAAAAACAAAUCACAGUGAGUAUGUUACAUUUCCCAGCAUUUGCGUCAUCUGGGAGCUCAUGAAAUAGCAAGCUUUAACCAUGAAGUCUGUCAGUGAAAAUAACCCAGGUUGAGGGUGAUUUUUUUUUUUAAUAAUAGGAGUGUUCUCACAUGUUUCAAAUGCCGUUUGAUUGUAAGUUCCUACAAUGGGGAAGUCGGCAGUUUUCUGUUGUGGGUAUAGGGUAGCAGGUUGAUCUGUGUCUCUAAAAAUUGAAAUAAUUCACAUGGCUACCCAAUGACAAGCCCAUUGAAGCAUAAAGUAAUUGGGUUAAUAAGUGACUGCUUAUAAUUCCCAAAAAUAGGAAAAUGAAAAUCUAAAAUUGACAACAAAGCACAUGACAAACAUCUGGAACGGGAGUAAGAAAAAAGUGUAAUAUAUUAACGCUAAAGAAAUGGCAUAAUAUGUUAAAAGUAGUAAAUGGUUAGAAAGCAUUGGAAAUAGAAUGUAAAAACUGAGUAUGAAAAACUAAAAUGUCUGUGUUCAGGGUCCAAUCCAUAGUGCCACAGGCAUGGAUGAUGCAACUUCCAACUAAGUUACAGAGUAUUUUUACAGCACUUACCAACUCAUUAUAACUUCAUAUAUUUAAGACAUUUUCCUUCCGAUUCAUACAAUGGUUCCUGUUCAUUGAGUUUAGUCAAGGCAGGUUGGGAUGGUGGCUUGGGAUGGGAGAAGAAAAAAAAAGGCUGUGUGAAGGGUGUGGUGAGAAUAGUCUGCCACAAGCUAGGUCUCCCUGAAUGUGGCCUAUUAUUCAUUUUAUGGGAUAAAUCAGGGCAAAAGCUCUUUCUCUUUCCAUAGUCUCAAUAAUAGCCAGCUGUGGCUUGAGCAAUGUCUUCUAGGAUUAUCACAGCAGAGAUCACAGCUUCCUAAACACUCAGAUGAAUAGUUUAAAAAUUUAUAUUAGAAGGGGAUUCUUCUCCAAUGAUUUCUGACUUUGAAAAUAAUACUAAUGGCCACGAGCUACCCAAUGCCUGACUCCUAUGGUUUUCUGACAAACUACAUAUAAAUAAACAAACAAACCAAAUAAAUAAAAACAAAUAGGUUUAAGUCAUAUUUCUUAAAAAAAUAAUAGUUUGUUAUUGCCAUUAUUAUUGUUUUUAUUCAGGAUGUAGAGCUCAUCUGGAUUGCUGCUUCUGAAAUAAGACAGAAAACAGAAUUACAAUAUAAUAGAAAGGACAGUGAACUGGUAGUUAAGCAACCUAGGUUCUUCUAUCUGCACUAACCAGCUCUGCUGGACAAGGCUGAUAUACUGCAGGACAGAAGUUUUCUGUCAAAAGAAAUCCAUGUUCCAAAUGACUUCUCAGACUAUUUUAGUUCUGAAAUUCUUACACUACCUAAUUCCAUACCUUUUAUUUUAUUACUUCUAUAUAGUAUCCCCAUCUUUCACAAUGCCAUCCCUUUCAUAUAACAUGCUUAAGUAUGUUAAUCAAAUCUCUGUUGAUUAGCUUAUAGAAAACCUGUUUAAAUCCAAAGCAAAGAAAAAGAAGCCCUUGUAUUAAGUGAACUUUUAAUAGCACUCUUUUAUGGGUGUAAGUUAAUAUGAAUAAUAAU
rnacentral:lncRNA from 10 species